rnacentral:lncRNA from 1 species
GAUCAGCCUUCUCCAGCUGGAGUGACCCUCAUGACCUCCUCCAAGAUUGGGGGUGUCCACUGUGAGAAACAACGUACAGCUACCUCUACACCUGUGACAUCAUCAUCACAUCUCUGCUGAGGCUGCUCGCUGUUCUGGGAGCAGAAGGAGAAAAGAGAGGACUUUGACUCUCUGUCAUUCAUCGAGCUGCUUGUGGUGGAUCAUUCAGACAUCUUCCUCAUGGAGAACUGGGAACACGUCCUGGGGGAGGUGUCGAUGGGGGUGCGUCCAGCUUUGCCCAUUAAUGGGGUCCAGAUCAUCUUGGGGAAUGACAUCGCUGGUAGCACAGUCUGGGCUGAUGUCCCCCCUUCUGUUGGAGUGGCUGGUGCUCCCCUGCCUAGUUGUUGAUCUG